AUGUCAUUGGCAACCAAUCAAAAACUUAAAAGGGCCAGCCGGGGCCCGCGCGGAGCAGCUGCUCUCUAUUUACAUGUAAACCGAACCGGCUGGAUGCAGUUAACCCUUUCCGGGGCCGAAGUGUCAAUGGGCCGGAUCGCCGCUCCGGCUCAAACCGGCUGGGUCCCUGGGCCCGGAGCCCCCCGCGUGCCCCUGCCCCGGGGGUGCGGAUCGCGCCUUCUCUUUCCCUCCUACUCGGGACCAAGGAUCGGAAGAGUCGGAGUAACUUUCCGAGGGCGGCCCCGCGAGCAGUCUCCGUCCCCGGCGGGGAGCCGGCUCGCCCAGGCGCUCCAGGCGCAAAGGAGUUUGAUAAGGACAGUAGAGUCUUACAUGAGGAGCACUAUAGGAUACUCGGCUAUGAGUUUUCUCUCUUACUAGAUUGAAGGUGUUUGGAGACAUGCUUCGGGCUCCACGCCUGUCUGAACUGGCUUUUAGGAACUUUGAAAAGGCUUCUGCACUUUACAUAUUUUUGUGAGCAGUGCUGUUCUAGAGCUCCUUUGAUUUGAGGUCACUUUGGUGCCAAAGGCACCAGAACCACAGAAUGUUAGACCUGAACGGGACUUAGAGCUUAUCUAGGCCAAUAGUUUUCAAACUGUGUUAGGAUGAGCCACAGGGAGUGGAGACACCAUUGCCAGGGGACGAGUAAAACAAGAGUCCUGGUGGUGAGCUAGAGGAGCUCUGAGACCAUGCUCCCACCCCUCACCCCCGACUUGAGAUGUAUUCUUCUAUUCCUGAGACCCUGAGGUAAGAUUUCCUUUGAAGAAAGGAUUCUGGUUGGUGUUUUAUUUUGUUUUGUUUUAACCCUGAUGCACCAUUUUACGGGUAAGUCCAUCUGAGGCCUAGGGAAUGGAGAUGACCUGGCCAAAGAAGCCAUGCUUGACCUCAGGACUUGACCUCCACUUCACGUCAAGGCCCAGCGUAGCCUCUACAGAAGAGGAAGUGACUGACCCAUUGGGAAAUCAAUAAACUCCCUGUCUCAACUGAGGGGAACCA
rnacentral:lncRNA from 12 species